rnacentral:lncRNA from 1 species
GAAGAUAUUGCCCAGCGGCAAAGUACCAGAGAAUUGGGGAAAGAUCCGAGGGUUAAUAUGCAAGUGUGCCACAACACCCGGCCCUGUUUUCAUUGCUUGCCAGCUACAUAUGUUUCCUUUUUGCAACGAAGGCUUCCCGCGAAAACAUACAUGAAUACGCACUGGAGCACAUGUUCCUCGCAUCUCGAGAGGCCUUUUUGGCCUGGGCCGGCUACUACCCCCUCAAGGCAUACAUGCACGAACACAGGGUAUUUUUUUAUUCCAGCAUUCCAAUCGGCGGCCAGCGACGAGCGGCCAGCUACAUUAUUACAUUUUUUGCAUGAAUAGGGGGAUCGAUGCCCUCCGACUCCAACGGACGAUUUGCAUGGACUUGCGUGCGUGGUUGUGCUGGUUACUUCGGGUGUUUGUGUACUACCGCCCUGAAGUAGUUGGUCUGCAGGCCCUAGUUGUCGCUUCGGGGGAGUGCACCCACACCCGGCCCUGUUUUCAUUGCUUGCCAGCUACAUAUGUUCCUUUUUGCAACGAAGGCUUCCCGCGAAAACAUACAUGAAUACGCACUGGAGCACAUGUUCCUCGCAUCUCGAGAGGCCUUUUUGGCCUGGGCCGGCUACUACCCCCUCAAGGCAUACAUGCACGAACACAGGGUAUUUUUUUAUUCCAGCAUUCCAAUCGGCGGCCAGCGACGAGCGGCCAGCUACAUUAUUACAUUUUUUGCAUGAAUGAAUUGCAGGUCCCCAUUUCUUAUGUGUUAUGCUGGUGUGCACUGACGGCAC